UCGAGUUUUGAACGGGUUGUUGCUGGCCUCAUACGGGGCAUGUGCACGCCUGACUUCAUCCACUCUUCAACCUCUGUGCACUUAUUGUAGGCUAGCGUGAAAGGUCGCAUUCAUUUGCGGCUGGAAGCCUGUCUACGUUUUACUACAAACGCUUCAGUUAUAGAAUGUUUAUCUGCGUAUAACGCAUUUAUAUACAACUUUCAGCAACGGAUCUCUUGGCUCUCGCAUCGAUGAAGAACGCAGCGAAAUGCGAUAAGUAAUGUGAAUUGCAGAAUUCAGUGAAUCAUCGAAUCUUUGAACGCACCUUGCGCUCCCUGGUAUUCCGGGGAGCAUGCCUGUUUGAGUGUCAUGGAAUUCUCAACUUCUAAUACUUUUUUGUAUCAGAAGCUUGGAUUUGGAGGUUUGUGCUGGCUCUAUGAGUUCGGCUCCUCUUAAAUGAAUUAGCGUGAAUCACUAUGGAUCGCUUCGGUGUGAUAAUUAUCUGCGCCGUGGUCGUGAAGUAUUAUUAAGUUCUCGCUUCUAAUCGUCCUUCAUAGGACAAUUAACCCUGACUUCUUGACCUCAAAUCAGGUAGGACUACCCGCUGAACUUAAGCAUAUCAAUAAGCGGAGGAAUCGCGAUCUUGGUCAUUUAGAGGAAGUAAAAGUCGUAACAAGGUUUCCGUAGGUGAACCUGCGGAAGGAUCAUUAUCGUAGAGCUUCGGCUCUUUCGAGGGAGAACCCUUGCCUUUUCGAGCACCUGUUUGUUUCCUCGGCAGGCCCGCCUGCCAAUGGGGACCUUUUUAAACCCUUGCGAUAACCUGAACAAAAAUCGUCUGAACAAAAAAAAAUCUAAAUCA
rnacentral:misc_RNA from 1 species